rnacentral:rRNA from 1 species
AGUGAACGCUGGCGGUAGGCCUAACACAUGCGAGUCGAACGGCAGCACAGUAAGAGCUUGCUCUUACGGGUGGCGAGUGGCGGACGGGUGAGGAAUACAUCGGAAUCUACUUUUUCGUGGGGGAUAACGUAGGGAAACUUACGCUAAUACCGCAUACGACCUACGGGUGAAAGCAGGGGAUCUUCGGACCUUGCGCGAUUGAAUGAGCCGAUGUCGGAUUAGCUAGUUGGCGGGGUAAGGGCCCACCAAGGCGACGAUCCGUAGCUGGUCUGAGAGGAUGAUCGGCCACACUGGAACUGAGACACGGUCCAGACUCCUACGGGAGGCAGCAGUGGGGAAUAUUGGACAAUGGGCGCAAGCCUGAUCCAGCCAUACCGCGUGGGUGAAGAAGGCCUUCGGGUUGUAAAGCCCUUUUGUUGGGAAAGAAAAGCAGCAGGUUAAUACCCCGCUGUUCUGACGGUACCCAAAGAAUAAGCACCGGCUAACUUCGUG